GUGUCACUUCGGUAACACAUGUACUAAAAUUGGAACGAUACAGAGUAGAUUAGCAUGACCCUGUGCAAGGUUGACACGCGAAUUCGUGAAGCGUUUCUAAUUUUG
ensembl:snRNA U6 U6 spliceosomal RNA